CCAGGGAAUAUUUCAGAGUGCCUGUGAAGCAACUCCACAGCUGCCCUGUGAAGGCACUGUUGCUAUUUCUAGUUUACCAAGAGAGAGCUGAGGCAAAGAGGGCUUUUAUCACCUAAAGUAACCCAUGGAGAAGGUGGAAUCCCAGCUCCCUCUUUAGUCAACAGAAAGCAGCAGGAAUUUCCAGAAGGCAACUGAUCCAGUGUAUUAGAGAUACCUCCACUAUGAAUCAGCUUGGGAGUUAACAUCCUUCCUCCAAAUACAGUGUUCACAAUUUGGACAAUCUUAUCAUAUUGAUCUCGAAAUGUAAAUGCUAUGCUACAACCUACUGAACUAGAGAAAAGAAGAAAUGAAGCAAACAAACAAAACGCCAAGGGUAGGAAAGAUUUCCCACUGUGCCAAGAAACUGUGUGCUCUGUGUUAGUGCUGGCCCAAUCCUGUUCAAGGGGAAGAGGUUGCUGAUCACCGUUGCUAUAGAAGGGCAAGUAUUAUCUCACUGCUUUCAUGAAAACUAUUGGUCAGAAGAGAAUGUAUUGUCACAAUCUAGCCCUGGCAUCCAGGGCAGAAGGAAAGGCUGUAAAUUCAUUCCCUGGGAUUAACCAUUGCAGUGUCAGGGAAGGGUGUGAUGAGAAAGUAAAAUUUGCAGUUAAAACUAUCUUAUAAAUAACUUCUCAAAAAUAAGGGGCCAGGUUACAAUAUUCUAAUCAGGAAUAGCCUGUGCCUGUCUUGCUGAUAUCCUUUACCUGCCUCACUCACA